rfam:Brassica oleracea var. oleracea cultivar TO1000 chromosome C1, whole genome shotgun sequence
GGGUGCGAUCAUACCAGCAUUAAUGCACCGGAUCCUAUCAAAACUUCACAGUUAAGCGUGCUUGGGCGAGAAUAGUACUAGGAUGGGUGACCUCCCGGGAAGUCCUCGUGUCGCACCCC